UACGGAGGGUGCGAGCGUUAUCCGGAUUCACUGGGUUUAAAGGGUGCGUAGGUGGGAAUGUAAGUCAGUGGUGAGAUCUCUGAGCUUAACUCAGAAACUGCCAUUGAUACUAUGUUUCUUGAAUUUUCUGGAGGUCAGCGGAAUAUGUCAUGUAGCGGUGAAAUGCUUAGAUAUGACAUAGAACACCAAUUGCGAAGGCAGCUGGCUACAGGGAUAUUGACACUGAGGCACGAAAGCGUGGGGAUCAAACAGG
rnacentral:rRNA from 1 species